UAACUCUGUGCCAGCAGCCGCGGUAAUACAGAGGGUGCAAGCGUUAAUCGGAAUUACUGGGCGUAAAGCGAGCGUAGGUGGCUUGAUAAGUCAGAUGUGAAAUCCCCGGGCUUAACCUGGGAACUGCAUCUGAUACUGUUAGGCUAGAGUAGGUGAGAGGAAGGUAGAAUUUCAGGUGUAGCGGUGAAAUGCGUAGAGAUCUGAAGGAAUACCGAUGGCGAAGGCAGCUUCCUGGCAUCAUAUUGACACUGAGGUUCGAAAGCGUGGGUAGCAAACAGGAUUAGAUACCCUGGUAGUCCACGCCGUAAACGAUGUCUACUAGUCGUUGGGUCCCUUGAGGACUUAGUGACGCAGCUAACGCAAUAAGUAGACCGCCUGGGGAGUACGGCCGCAAGGUUAAAACUCAAAUGAAUUGACGGGGGCCCGCACAAGCGGUGGAGCAUGUGGUUUAAUUCGAUGCAACGCGAAGAACCUUACCUGGUCUUGACAUACCCAGAAUCUUGUAGAGAUACGAGAGUGCCUUCGGGAAUUGGAAUACAGGUGCUGCAUGGCUGUCGUCAGCUCGUGUCGUGAGAUGUUGGGUUAAGUCCCGCAACGAGCGCAACCCUUGUCCUUAGUUACCAGCGGGUUAAGCCGGGAACUCUAAGGAUACUGCCAGUGACAAACUGGAGGAAGGCGGGGACGACGUCAAGUCAUCAUGGCCCUUACGACCAGGGCUACACACGUGCUACAAUGGUAGGUACAGAGGGCAGCUACACAGCGAUGUGAUGCGAAUCUUUCAAAGCCUAUCGUAGUCCAGAUUGGAGUCUGCAACUCGACUCCAUGAAGUAGGAAUCGCUAGUAAUCGCGGAUCAGAAUGCCGCGGUGAAUACGUUCCCGGGCCUUGUACACACCGCCCGUCACACCAUGGGAGUUGAUUGCACCAGAAGUGGUUAGCCUAACGUAAGAGGGCG
rnacentral:rRNA from 1 species